ensembl:snoRNA small nucleolar RNA SNORA9
CUGCAGACCUUUCCAGCGAGGCUCAUCCUGUAGUGGUUCUGUCCUUUCCUGUUGUGUCUGCUAGAGACUGUUGAGGCAGUUUGAGGCCCUGCUGUGAGUCCACAUGCACGGCAGGGUUAUAGGUUAGCCUCAGACAUUA